rnacentral:rRNA from 1 species
GGGGAACAAAUAUGAGGCGGGCUGGACCUCUCGGGGUUACAGCCUUGCUGAAUUAUUCACCCUUGUCUUUUGCGUACUUCUUGUUUCCUUGGUGGGUUCGCCCACCACUAGGACAAACAUAAACCUUUUGUAAUUGCAAUCAGCGUCAGUAACAAAUUAAUAAUUACAACUUUCAACAACGGAUCUCUUGGUUCUGGCAUCGAUGAAGAACGCAGCGAAAUGCGAUAAGUAGUGUGAAUUGCAGAAUUCAGUGAAUCAUCGAAUCUUUGAACGCACAUUGCGCCCUUUGGUAUUCCAAAGGGCAUGCCUGUUCGAGCGUCAUUUGUACCCUCAAGCUUUGCUUGGUGUUGGGCGUCUUGUCUCUAGCUUUGCUGGAGACUCGCCUUAAAGUAAUUGGCAGCCGGCCUACUGGUUUCGGAGCGCAGCACAAGUCGCACUCUCUAUCAGCAAAGGUCUAGCAUCCAUUAAGCCUUUUUUUCAACUUUUGACCUCGGAUCAGGUAGGGAUACCCGCUGAACUUAAGCAUAUCAAUAAGCCGGAGGAAGA